CGUGCUCAAUCUGCCACGCCUGCUGCUGCUGCUGCUGAUGCUGGAGGAGAGGGUUCCCAGCCGUCAGCAUGCCGGCCGCCGCCAGCGUCUGCGCCACCUGCGUCUUCGCCUGCGCCACCUGCACCUGCAGCGUCGCCAGCUGCGGCAUCCGUGUGCUAAGUUAGCUCGCCGGCGAGUGAUCGAUCGAUCGCGAGGGGUUUAAGAAUUUGUAAUUACCUGCUGCUGCAGCGCGAAGAUGUGGGCGACGCAGCCGUAGACGGGGUCGCGCAGCCUGGCCUGCGCCUCGUAGGUGACGGUGGCGGCGACCUCGCUCCGGUCGCCCGGCGCCACCUGCUGCAGCAGCUUCGCCGCGUUGCUGGCGCCGAACACCUUGUGUAUCGCCGCGAACUGCGCCGCCCCGUCCUCCGCGCAGAAGUAGGGCGCGAACACGCACUCCGCCGCGCACUUGCGCCGCAGGAACUUGCACGCCCCGCACGGCGACCCCGGCACGCCGCCCACUCCCGACG
rnacentral:sRNA from 1 species